rnacentral:lncRNA from 1 species
GCCAACUACUUACACAAUUUGUCUAGAAAAUAAUAAUACACGCAUACAUAAUAUGUCAGUGUUGUUGGCAAAAUAAUAGGAGUACAAAAGUAUGUAAUCUCACAGUCAAAAUAUAUAUACAAAUCGAAUAGUAAUGAUAAUUCGACACUACUAUUUUUCAAUUAUCAAUUGUGAAAAAACAAUAAAUCGACAUUACUUGCACAAAAUUCAGCUUGCCUUAAGCAUUAAUUAACUACAAUAAGAUUUCGUUACAAAGGGAAGCAUGCAUUCCGUUAUACAAUUAAUGGGGCACAUUAAUUUACCUAAAAGAGAGAAAACCAGAACCUGAAGGUUGGCAUGCCUAAACUAAAAGCUACGACAAUGACCAAGAUCCAAACUAAGUAGCUCACAACUUUCUUUUUCUUCAUUUGAUUGAUGAACUUCGUUAGGACAUAACAAUCUGGUGGAUUAAUUUUUUUUUCCUUUUCUCACCUGGUGUCUAGUACUCGUAUUGGGGUAGUACUAAAUUAGGAUUCACAUCGGAGAGUCCCAUAAUUGAAGGGUAAAGCGCUCCCUAACAAAGACGGCUUUAUACCCAGGGCUCGAACUCCAGGCCUCUUAUUAAGGAUGGAAGAAUACUUACCACUCCACCACAACCUUGUAGUAUGGUGGAUUAAUGUAUAUACUCUUUCUAUUUUCGAGGGUAUUAAUAACCUCAAACCUAAAUAUCUUAAUAAAUGUUUGUGGCACCUUAAUUACUUGUCUGCACGUGAAAGUGAAAGCCUCCAAAAAAAUAUGGUGAAAUAUCAGUAUUGUAUAUUGAUAUAAUCAACUCAAUAACUCAAUUGGUUGAGUUGCAUUCUUUGAGUUCAUUCUCCUCACGUCCAACCACUCUUCUAUUUUAAUAAACAUAAUUUCUCUUUCAUCCUUUUCAAAAUAAACUAGUAGGUCAAAAUAAAUUUAUCAACCAUGUCACUACAAGAAAACACUAAUUUUGUGUGAGUUUUUUUGGUCAAAUUGUGACGGUUUCUAACUGUCACAAUUAUCAUUGUCACGAGCAUUAUUGCAGCAAUUUUUUAGAACCUCCACGACGACCGACACAAAAUGAAUUUUGAAUUUGUGGGAGUUUUUAAAAUCAAUUAAUGAUAGUUUAGAACCCCCAUAAUAAGAUCUUAAUAUUUCAAAAAACAUAUAUAGAGAUUUUAUAAACCCCGCAAUAUGAUCAAAAUAUUCCCAAAAAAAUUAUCGCAUACCUCCAUAAAUUCUUUUUUUUUAAAAAUAUGCGGGGAUUUAUAAUUAACCGUUACCAUGCGAUAUUAAUGUUUAAAAAAACUUUGUGGCAGUCUAUAUUCCCCAUAAUAUUUUUGUAGUAAGAAAUUAGUUUUCUAUUUUUACAAACUAUUUUACAAAUAUAAAAUUCUAGACAAAAAUAAUUAGUGUGACUAAACUACCCUUAAUUAAAUAUUGCAGCAUAGUUAAUGUGAGGAGUAAAAAACUUUUUAGAGAUACAUACAUAAGGGUAAUUUUUGAAAAACAAAUUAAAUUUUUUCUUGAUUAUAUAAAUGGACACUUAUUUUGGAUCAAAAUAAAAAAGGUAAAUUGGUCAAUUAUUGUAAACCGGAGGGAGUAAUUAACUAUACGAUUUCGUUACAUCAAUGCAAAAAGGGAAGCAUACAUUCCGUUAUACAAUUAAUGGGGCACAUUUGUCACACCUCCUUUUUAACCCCACAAAAGAUAUGUGUUAUGGAUUGUGGGUUAAAGAGUUUUUCCAAUUAAAAUGAUAAUUUUGAAAUAGGGAUUAUUUUGUUAUUCAGAGUUGCCACUUGGAAUUGAUUAUUGGUAUUCCAAGUCACCUUUUAUUUGAAUCCCUAGUCAAAGUAAGGUUUGACUAUAUCAUUAUUGGUCUACGAAAACAAAGCCUAGAUAAGGAAUUCUGUUGAUCGGGGAGAAGGUGUAAGGCAUUCUCCGAGUCCCGUGGUUCUAGCAAGGUCGCUUUAUUGACUUAAAGUUGGCUUGAAUUAAUUUUGAAUAAACUGUGCUUUAUAUGAUUUUCAUAUUUUACCUAUCCGCUUUUAUUUCUUGAUUAUAAGAAUUAUAAAAUAAAAAAAUUGGAUAAUAUUACGUUGUCAUAACCACGCUACGCAAGCGAAUGCGUGAUCAAAUAACAAAAUUAAUUAACUUAUCAUAAUUGUACCUCGCAAGCGAAUCCGAAAUUAUGACAAUCAAUUAUUUGUAUUACUUUUGAGAAAUUACUACGUUUGAGAAAAUUAAUUCUUGAAGCACGAUUUUAGAAAUUAUUAUGGAAAGGAUAUAAAUUAAUCACUAAAACCGAUUAUGAGAUCCAAGCACAUUUCAAAGUUAUUAAAGAAUAGUUUCUAAUUUGAGGCAUGGGUAACAAUUUUUGGAGUAACACUAUUAUUUAAGUAUUUGUUAUUAAAAAAAGAAAAGAAGGGUGGAUUUACCUGUUCUAAGCAAACUUGGCAUGUUAAAUGAGAAUGAAAGCAAUCUAACAAAAAGCAGUAGAAGUAUCUUUAUUCCCAAAUAUCAUCUCAGUCAUACCCAAACAAUAUUUUAUAUUUGUUUAUCAAUAAAGCUAAUAGAAAUCUUAAUCCAUUAAUGAAUAAUGUUCCAUUUUCUCUUAAUAAACCAUCAGCUAAAUAUACCAAAUGAUGUCACGUUGAUACUCAAUGAAUGCAAGAGAUUAAUACCAAAUAAAUCUACUGCUUGACAUAGAAAAUAAACUAACUAAUGACCUAAAUUAUCAAAUAAAACCAAACACUCAAAAACAUUUUGUUCAAACUCAAAGCCACUUAACAAAGACAUCAUAACAGUGUUUUAAAGAGGAAGAUUAGUAGAAUGUAAAAUAACCUUUUAGCAAGGAGGAUCUGACUCUUGUUUGCUCAAAACUGAAAGAUGACCAAGACCGUGACUCUAGAGCCUCGAAUUCGCAGCUUGCCGGAGUUCGAUGAACUUCAGACGUACUCGACUAGGCUUGAAUAUUUUUAAUGGCUGAGAUUGGGACUGAUAUGUGCUACCAUGUCAUUGAUAUUUAUGGAAUUUUCGGUGGAUUCAAAGUGGAUUUGUAGUGAUAUGUAUUGAAGAUGAAGCUAGAUUUAAGGAAUGGCUGAAAGUUUAUGGGUUUUCUCCUAGAAAGACGGGAACUUGAAUCGAGGAAGAAGGCUGCCCAUUUUUGAUUUCCC